rnacentral:rRNA from 1 species
GUGCCAGCAGCCGCGGUAAUACGUAGGUGGUAAGCGUUAUCCGGGAUUAUUGGGCGUAAAGCGCGCGUAGGCGGUAAAAUAAGUCUGAUGUGAAAGCCCCCGGCUCAACCGGGGAGGGUCAUUGGAAAUUGUUUUACUUGAGUACAGAAGAGGAGAGUGGAAUUCCAUGUGUAGCGGUGAAAUGCGCAGAGAUAUGGAGGAACACCAGUGGCGAAGGCGGCUCUCUGGUCUGUUACUGACGCUGAGGUGCGAAAGCGUGGGGAUCAAACAGGAUUAGAUACCCCUGUAGUCC